rnacentral:rRNA from 1 species
GACGAACGCUGGCGGCGUGCUUAACACAUGCAAGUCGAACGAUGACGACCGAGCUUGCUCGGUCUGAUUAGUGGCGAACGGGUGAGUAACACGUGAGCAACCUGCCCUUCACUCUGGGAUAACCUCGGGAAAUCGGGGCUAAUACCGGAUAUGAGCUCCUGUCGCAUGGCGGGUGUUGGAAAGUUUUUCGGUGAAGGAUGGGCUCGCGGCCUAUCAGUUUGUUGGUGAGGUAGUGGCUCACCAAGGCGAUGACGGGUAGCCGGCCUGAGAGGGCGACCGGCCACACUGGGACUGAGACACGGCCCAGACUCCUACGGGAGGCAGCAGGGGGGAAUAUUGCACAAUGGGCGAAAGCCUGAUGCAGCGACGCCGCGUGAGGGAUGACGGCCUUCGGGUUGUAAACCUCUUUCAGCAGGGAAGAAGCGAAAGUGACGGUACCUGCAGAAGAAGCGCCGGCUAACUACGUG